UUUGGGACAACGACCCCCAUUGUUAGGGCAGAGAUAUGCACAUCUCGUCAUUAUAUAAAGAUCUCUGCUUUAUCCCCUUACAACAGUGUAUGAUCAUAUCAAUCGGUUUCACCUGCGCUACACGGAACGCAAUAAUAUGUAUUAUAAGUAAAUGGACAGCUGUGCUUCAGACUGGAGACCCAGUCAGCGAGGAGAUGAGGAUGCAUUUGGUGUGAAGGACAUUCCACUUGGGUCGGCUUUGGUAGAUGUCAAGUUUGCAGAUUUAGAGUCACCUUUCAUUAAGGUAGAGAGACCGGAUGAAGGACCAUGGAGAAGGGGCGCAACAUGGAGGACCAAGUGGAUGGGGAAACACCAGAUCCAGCAAUAAUGCCAUCCAGAAUCUCCCCAUUGAGAAUCAUCAGCACUUGGAAGAAGAGGAGAAUCAUGCCCCACUAACCCUCCUAGAGGAGCAGCUGGCAGAAGAUCCAGAGAAGCUCAGUAAGCUGCACCAGUUUGGGAACCGUGGAGAGCAGGAGACCAGUGUUCUGGAGUUUGUAAUAAAGAUGGAGAAGGAGAAAGAACAUUCUGGAUCCAGUCAGGAUGGAUGUCAACAGAGGAACACAGAAAAGCAGGGGAAUCCCUUGAGCUCUGAGUUUGUAAUGGAUGAAAGAGACAGUCAACUGUGGUCGUCUAUAGUUCAAGGGAAUGACCCUGACAUAGUCAUAGACACUGACUUUCCUAAUUUCUCUUGUUGCAGUAUUCAGAGUUUUUUCAGAUUGUGCCGAAGCUCAGCCCCUAUCCUAAAUGGUACCCUAUAUUCCCUAUUUAGUGCACUACUUUUGAUCAGAGUCCUGACUUUUGUUUUGGAUGUGAAACUAAAUAAUUGUGUUCAUUGCUACACACCAGAGGGCAGUGUAACACUUCAUUCAAAAAAUAGGAAAUGGUCAGUCACUCUAAUGUGGUUUUGCUGAGGGAACAAGAACUAACCCAAAUGUAAAGUUGUCCUUUACUGUUGGGUCCUUUGAAAAAUAAAACUGUAAUGGAGGGGUUGUCAUAUGCCAGAAAUAGAGAAAGCUAUGACGCUUUUCCAAUAAGUAAGGGCUUUACAAUACAACACAAAUUAAUUUUCUAUUAGUUACAGCGAACAACGGAAAAGUGUCUUCCCCUUGCACCUAGCCGUAUUUCACUGGUGUAGACAGGAGGCAGUUGCAUGUUUAGAACUACUGAAUUUAUUUAAGCACUAUAGAUCAAAGCGGGACAAACCCAAACACUGUUGUGCUCAAAAUAUAUCUUCAUAAUGAAAAGGCACAGGGCAAACCCAAAGUGCAAAAUAUAAAGUACUCAGGAAAUAGUAGGAGAGAUUCCUUUCAGGAAAACAAGUAACAUUUACAAUGACCGACAAAGACAAUUGGCAGAGGGAGUAUAUAUACAGUGAUAGAGUGGGGAUGAGAUAAGUCCGGGGUUGAUGAGUGAAGGGCGUUUGCCAGCAGUCGUUUCGGCAGCAGCUAGAGGGCCGAACGCCUGAGCUGGACAGGAGGGGAGCCAAAGCGAAGGCUGGUGUGACACCGUCGGGAGAAUUUGGGAAGGUUGUGGCUGAUUUAACUUCACUUAUUGUGGUGAUCUAUUCAGCACCAUGGAUAGUGCUGGGGUUGAUCAAUUGUCCACGAAUCUAAACCCACUGUGAAUCAUGUGCUAAAAGCUAACAUUUACUUAUUGCAUUCACUCACCUAAAAAUCUAUGGUUGGCCCAUUUCUAGCCAUGAAGUAAAUUAUCAUCUCUCAAGGUUUUGUUUCAAAAUGUUUAUUUAGUCACAGCAUAAAAUAAAUGAACCGUGAGCCUUCUGGCUACACAAUCGUGGACUAUACAAAGGGGGUACAAAACAUUAGGAACUCCUGCUCUUUCCAUGACAGACUGACAAGGUGAAUCCAGAUGAAAGCAAUGAUUCCUUAUUGAUGUCACCGUAUUGAUGUUAAAUCCACCUCAAUCAGUGUAGAUGAAAGGGAGAAAACAGGUUAAAGAUCAUUUUUAAGCCUUGAGACAAUUGAAACAUUGAUUGCGUAUGUGUGCCAUUCAGAGGGUGAAUGAGCAAGACAAAAGAUGUGAGUGCCUUUGAACGGGGUAUGGUAGUAGGUGCGAGUGGCACCGGUUUGAUUGUGUCAAGAACUGCAACAUUGCUGGGUUUUUCACGCUCUACAGUUUCCCGUGUAUAUCAAGAUUGGUCCACCCCCCAAAGAAUAUCCAGCCAACUUGACACAACUGUGGGAAGCAUUGGAGUCAACAUGGGCCAACAUCCCUGUGGAACGCUUUCGACACCUUGUAGAGUCCAUGCCCCUGCGAAUUGAGGCAGUUCUGAGGGUAAAAGGGGAUGCAACUCAAUUUUAGGAUGGUGUUACUAAUGUUUUGUUCACUCUGUGUAUAAUCUAAUUAAAUAAACAAGUCAAGACCCAUCAAUUAUUAUUUUCCAUUAUUACUUUUAUUCAAGACAGAAAAAACUAAAUGUUCAUAAAGCAGUUCAAUUCAAGUUUAUUAAAAAAAUUUUUUUAAAUGGCAUUAACAUGAAAAACAGUCUUAGUCAGAAACAGUAACUAUAAUUGUAGAUAGGCCUAACUGUAAUUGUAGCUGACUGAUUCUCAAGACCCAGCCAAUCACAGUGGUGUAAAGUACAGUACUUAAGUAAAAAUACUUUAAAGUACUACUUAAGUAGUUUUUUUGUGGUAUAUGUACGUUACUAUUUAUAUUUUUUACUACUUUUACUUCACUACAUUCUUUAAGAAAAUAUACUUUUUACUCCAUACAUUUUCCUUGUCACCCAAAAGUACUCGUUACAUUUUGAAUGCUUAGCACAACAGGAAAAUAGUCAAAUUCACACACUUAUCAACCGAACAUCCAUGGUCAUCCCUACUGCCUAUUAUCUUGCGAACUCACGAAAAACACAUGCUUCGUUUGUAAAUUAUGUCUGAAUGUUGGAGUGUGCCCGUGGCUUUCUGUAAAAAAUAGAAAAAGAAAAUGGUGCCGUCUGGUUUGCUUAAC